GCACGCUUCGGCAGCACGUUUACUAAAAUUGGAAUGAUACAGAGAAGCUCAGCAUGGCCUCUGCGCAAGGAUGACCCGCAAAUUCUUGAAGCAUUCCAUAGGGAG